AUUGUUAUCAAGUGUGUGAGCAGGAAGGCCCUGGCCUACUGUUGGAGUCAUUAACCCUGGGAAAGAAUGAGAGGAAGUAACCAAGAUAGCUGAGGUGACAUGCAUUCCAGUCCCCUGCCCUGUAACUGGUCAGACCAGGAGGCAGGAGGUCAAGGCCUGGGCCUCCAGUGGGUUGCCAGUCAACUACUGCCCCUCUUCCCUGGACCUCGCUUCUCCUGCCCACAAAAUGGGCUCCUUUCUUGUUCUUUGGCCACUUGGCAACUCUGAGGAAGGGAACAUUGAGUUCUUGGAGAAAUCUAUCAGCUUGUCUUUAAGAGUGGGUGGUGCCACCAUGCAAAGCCCACUGUCUCACCAAUCUCAUGCCUUCCUUCACUGAUGCUCUCUGCCCACAAGGGCCAGGCCCUGGGCUAGGGAGGCGGAUGAAGGAGCUGGCUCCCUGCUCCCUUAGACUUUGCUGAAACCUUGGCUCUCCUCCCGUGUGGGCCUGGGGUCACUCCUGCUGGGGUCUACCCACGUCCAUUCACCUGUUGCUGAGCUAAGAUCCAGAGGCUCUGUGAAUGUCCAUCUAGUGAGUAAGCACUAGACUAGGAGUCACAAGAUUUCUGUGCUCCUGGCACUACCCCUGCCCCUGUGAUCCAGAGCAAGUCGUUUAACUUCUCAGAGCAGAAUUUUCCCCAUUGCAAAAUGGCAUCAUCCAUUCAUUCAUUCAGCAACCAUUUAUGGAGUGCCAGCUCUCUUCCCAGCCCUGUGUGGGGUAUAAACACCAGGCAUGGGUCCAAGGAGCUUCUGGUCUGAUGGGGAGACCAGUCAACAAGAGAAGGUCUCUCAAUAAAAGGAGGCUGCCUUCAAGGAGGAGUCUUCCAAGAGCUGGAGAGUAGCUUUUGGGGGCUGCAUAACCUGUGGGAGAUGCCUGGAGUCUUUGUGGCUUUGUCCCAGCUCCUGUUUGUUAUUCUGGUUACUGUCUGCUUCCCUCCAGAUAGCUUAUGGGGAGAGGGGUCUUGAGAGACAGCUCCCUACCCCCACCACAGGCUAGGGCAGGGGACAGACCCACAGGGGCAGAGAGGAGAGAAGGCCGGGUCUUGCCAUGAGUCUCAGAUGAGCUGAUGGAUGAGAAAACAGCGAGGCUUAUCUAUACUGAGUCUGGGGGUUCCCCUUGUGGCUCAGCAUAAUGAACCCGACUAGUAUCCAUGAGGAUGCAGGUUCAAUCCCCGGCCUCACUCAGUGGGUCAAGGAUCCAGUGUUGCCUUGAGCUGCGGUGUAGGUCGCAGCCACAGCUCAGAUCCCAUGUUGCUGAGGCUGUGGUGUAGGCCGGCAACUAUAGCUCUGACUCUGCCCCUAGCCUGGGAACUUCUAUAUGUUAUGGGUGCGGCCCUAAAAAGACUAAAUAAAUAAAUAAAUAUACUGAGUCUGGUUAUUUUAAUCUAGGAGCCAGAGCUCAGGUUGGGGUUCUGCGGCGCCAAGUUAAACAAGGGAGAUUGGGCUGAACCACUUUCCUUUCCCCCUUUUCUCUCCCAACUCUUCUGGGGGAGCUAGAGGGAUGGCAGAGAUCAGCUCAAGCCUGGACUGGAGUUGAAGAAAUGGGAAGAAAGGGUUAAGUUGUCCUGGCUUCCCACCUCCUGGGAGGGAGGGGUAGGGAGGGGACAGGGACCAGGAAGGCUGAGGCAGGAAUGUGUGAUAAGAUCAAAGCUUCCAGCCUGCCUGGGCCUCACCUACGUUUCACCUGAGCGAUUGAAGGGAAUUCUCUAAGUGACCCGGGGUUGGGGGUGGGGGGGGGCUGCAGGUCCCACCCACCACCCUUCAGCAUGUCAAGAGGCCUCACCUACCCCAAAGUGCUAGAAGCCUCGGGACCACCUUUACCUGGCACAUGCAGAUUGGGGGGAGCACUCUGCCUUCCACCCCCACCCCCAGCGGCUCUGUCACCCCUGGGGUUCCUGGCCAGGACUCAGAAGCCCUUUUAUGAGGCCUCUUAGCACCCCCCACCAGUUAAUUCCACGGAUUGCACUUCGGGACAGUGUCAUGGGCAGGAGACACAGCCCUGAGCCCUGUCCUAGCUCCAUUACUUAUUGCUGUGUGACCCUGGGCUGGUGACUCAACCUCUCUCAGCUUCAUCUAUCAGCGGGGAAUGGUCAUACCAUCUUUGCAGGGUUUUGGUGAAGAUUAGACACCAUGGAAAUCACAUCCGGCCAGAAUAGGCAGUUGAUAAAUAACAGGAACUGUUAUUUUGUGAAGGUCCCCUUCGCCCUUCAAGACUGCCCCUGGUGCUUGGUCCUUAAACCUUGGGGCUUGGUUUUGUUCUGCCUCCCCCUGCCCUUGGAGGAGGCCCCAAGCUCCAGGGUCCACCCUCUUGUCCAACACUCUUCAUUCACUUCGUGAAUCUUCCCAACUGUGGGAAGGGAGCAGGGCAGGAAGGGGUGUGAGUGCAGGGGCCCCCUGAUGCUCCUAAGAGCCCUCCAGGUACCUGCUGGGCCACCUGCCCUAGUGAUAUCAGAUUAGGCCUUCCUGCCAAACCACCCCACUCCCAUACCAGGGACCUUAGGGUCCCAGCGGGGUGGCUGGGAAAGUGGCCCUAGAAUUCCCCAGGUGGGAAGGGACCUGGAGCUGGCCCUGGGGGUGCGUGCUCUGCCCUGGUUAAUGAUUACUCUGCAUUAAGUGAGCAGGGGAGUGGGAGGCCCACCCUCCCAGCUCCUUAACCACUGGUUGCACUUGAGGUAUGUCAGCAUUUGGGUGCUCCCUGCUUUAAUGAGGCAGCCUUCCUCUGGGACACACGGGGUCAGGGAGGGAGCAGGGAGUAGGGGGCUUGGAUCACAGAUUGACAGGCGGCCUGCGCCCCCGGGGUCCUAAGGACAGAUUUAAGGCUCAGAAAAUCCGGGUGAAAUGUGAGCGAGGACAUAACAGACCCCUGCGGUUUGGUGCCAGCCACGUGAGCAGACCCUGCGGUGAUACAGCAGGUGAGCAGGCUCCUUCUAGCACCCCCCACCCCCGUGCCUCCUCUCCUGGGCUCAGGCCCUGCAAGCGGCGCCCCAGCUAGCAGGUAGUAGAUGGUUAGGGCUUUGGGGUACCUGGGCUUGGGUUCCAAUCCCGCUUCUGCCACCUCAGGGCUUUGUAACCCUGGGCAAGUCACUGCACCUUUCUGAGCCCCCAUUUCCUCAUCUGAAACCAGAGAAUAUUCAUCCCUACAUUUUUCUGCUGUCAGUGAGCCAAGGGGUAGGAAGUGUUUAGCUCAGAAUGAAUACCUGGGGAAGGGUAGCAAUUAUUCCUACGAUAGUUUCUGUUAUUAGGAGAAGGUGAAAGCUGAAUGCUAGUCUUGGGUAACCAGGGCAACCCUGGCCCCUGGGAUGAGCUGGAGGAUAUGGGGGAAGGUAUCUGUGAGAGCGCUGGAAGCAUGGCGGGAUCUCCGCCUCUAACCAGGCCCACCUUGGUCCUCCCAGCCCUCGUUCCUUCCUGGGCUGGGUCUGAGGCGGUGCUGGCCAAGAGUGGGGGAGGAGGGAGAAUUGGUUAUUUUAACAUUAGGGCAUUUUCCCCUACUGGCCGCUGCUAUUUUGAGAGCCCUGGAGAGCAGGGGCUAUGGUUAAAUUAGGUAAUGUUGCUCCAGAAGGAAUGUGUGAAGCAGUCAGGCCCAGGCUGCAGGGAAAGGACAGUUGGUUCGCUCCAUAUAAAUUUAAACUGCAGCUUGGAAAAGUGCAGCUCGGGGCGCUUUAUAAGGUGAUGGAGGUGGAAGCUGCUAGAGGCUGCUGCUGGGGGAGUGGAGGUGAUGGCUCAAGGUUUUUCUUGGGGGAGCCUGGGCUUGCACCUGGAGGCCUGGCUGGCCCAGCAGGGGCCAGCAGUGGGACCGAGGGGCAAAGCUGCUCGUGUCCUCAGCUCCAAGCCUCUGGCUGCCACUGAAGCAGGUGGGGCUUGGGGUGGUGUGAUGCCUGGAAAGGAUGGAUCUGCAGACUUGACCUUGAACCCUGCUUCUGCCCUGAAUCCAAGCCUUCUGUGCUUGGGCAAAUCACUCAGUUAUGUCCAGCGGUGACAUAACCAUUCUAGUACCCUAGGGACAAUUCUUAAGGAUCAAAUCGCUAGAAGAAAAAGUCUAGUGAGCUGACUUUUAUUGAGGGCUGUUGUGUACAAGGUGCUAUUCUAAUCCCUCGUUGAUGUCAUGACCCGGAGGGCAGUCCAUGCACCAGCAGCUUGGGGCUCACCUGGGAACUUGUUAGAAAUGCAGACUCUCAGGCCCCACCCAAACCUACUGAAUCAGAAUCUGGACACCGACAAGACCCCAAGCAAGAUCUCCUGGUGAUUCCUGGGUGUGCUAAAGAUGGAGAAGCUCAUUUUAUCUCGAAACCACCCCUGUGAUAUAGGAACUGUCAUUUGCCAGUUGGGAAAACGGGGGCUUGGAGAGAUGGUCUCCAUAGAGACUCCAUCAGUAUUGAUGCUGUUCCCCAUUCUGCUUUUCCUUCCCCUCUUUUGGUCUGGGCUGGGGUUGGGGAGAAGAAUGGGGCGUCCGAGCUCCUGGCAGGACUGGAGAAAGUCAAGCAUAUCCCUUACCUCUGAGACUUAAUCAGACUCUCUUAUCACCAUUCACCCAAGGGAUCAGUACAGCUGGACCUGAGUCACCUCCCCAAAGUCAUUCCACACUUCCCGUCCUUGGAGAAAGGUGGGAGCAGGGAAGGGCUUCUCUGCUGAUGUGCUUGUGGUACCGACAGUAGAUCAGAUGGGGGAGGGAAGAGUCAGGGCGGGGGCUGCUUUGGGCUUAGUUAGGGCCACCCCUCCUGUCACUGGUAUGCUUGGGGACUGAGUCACCCUAGCAGUGAAUAUUUUGAGGAGCAUCCACUAUGGACCCAGCCUUGGGAGAGUAUCCUGAAUUUCCUCCAAUUCUGUAGACUCUUCAUUAUACAGAAAGGAAAAAAAAAAAAAAAGUGUUGCUACAGUUUAUUUAGCACUUAGCGUGUGCCACACACAGUGAUAAGCACCUGACUUGCAUUAUGUCUGUUAUCUGUUUAAUUUCACUGUCAGUUUCCUCUAUAAAAUGGGGAGAGUGAUAGUAUUCCCUGUCUCAUGGGGUUGUUAAGAAAGUAAUAUUUGUCAAGUGUCUGGCACAUAGUGUUUGUCAAAUAAAUAUAAUAAGUACAAAUAAUCUCCCAAUAAGGUGGGCACUAUCAUUGCCCCCAUUUUACAGAUGUACACACUGAAGUCCAGAGUCCAGGGAAAGGACUUCCUGUUGGGAUCAGAGGUGGUUAGGGGAGAGCCAGAAGAAACUGAGUCCCAAAACUUCUAAACCACUCUUAUAAUUCAACUCAGUUUAUUAUCCUUGGCUUUGGGAGGUAUCUAAGGGUUAAUAUAUGUAUAUUAUAUAUAUAUAUGCCAUAUAUAAAUAUGAUGAAAAAACCUCAACUUGGAGUUUGUCCCCAAGAACCUUUGUUUCCAGUGGGAGAGGAGAGACAUUUACCUGAGAGGCUAUAAUUAAGACCAAAUCUAUAGUCUUCUAAGAGGUAGAAAUUAAGUCCUAUAGCUGUGUGGGGGAGAAAGAUGUCUUUGUGGGGGGUCCAGGAAGACUUCAGAGUGGAGGUGGUAAUUAAGCCAGACCUUGAAGGAUGGAUGAGUGGAGGAGUAGAUUCGAUUGAGAGGCAUAGGAACAGCAUUCUGGGAGGAGGGAACAGCAUACGUAAAGGCCAAGCAGCAGGAAAAUAUGCCUUGUGAGAAUGUGGCACGCAAGCCGCCAGUUCUCAGGGGGCUGCUGGGCCUGGGGUGUUGAGGUGGGAAAGGCCAAGCCCAGCUUUGCUGUCAUUGAAGAUUCCCAGCGUUCUCAGGGACUUGGCUCGUCAACCAGCUGGGACUGUUCCGUCAUCAUUCUGCCUUUUCUUCAUGUCAAGAAAUCAAAGACUUUUAUAAAUGGCCCGUCUGGUCAGCGUGUGAUAACCGGUGCAGCUGGCAGAAUUCAGGCCAAAAGCAAAAGACUUGAUGUCUUGAUUAACGGGGCAGCCUUAUCGCCCACGCAUGUACAAUUUCCUUUCGUCUUUGCCAGGGUUGACAAUAACCCUGGGUGGGGAGCACAAUGGAGGGGCCAGGCCUGGGUUCUGAUUCCGUCUCUGCGGCUUACCGGCUGUGGCUUUGGGCGAGCCUCAACUUCCUCCUUUGUUAAGUGGAGAGAGCUCUUCCUCCACACUUGGGUGAAGGAUUGGUGAUGGCACAGCCUGCACUGUCCAAUAGGGUGCCCAGCAGCCCAUGCGACUGUUUAUUUUUUUAUUUUUAUUUUUUUAAGUUUUUAAUCCCCGUGUGACUUUAAAUUUCAGAUUCAGUUAAAUAAAAUUAAAGUUUCUCAGUUGUACCAGCCACACUUCAGGUGGCUACUUAUCAGACAACGUAGAUAUAGACAUUUCCCUCACUGCAGAAAGUUCUGCCGGAUAGCACUGGUGCCACUCAGUAAGGAAUAGCUAUUGUCACUUUUCCUGGAUCCCUGUCCCACUUGGGAAGCCCCAAUCUAUGGAGGCCUGAGAGACCCCAGGGCCUUGGUGAAGGCAGACAGGACUGCCCCUCUUGUCACACUGCCAUCCCCACUUUCUCCUGGGCACUGAGGAGGUCUCACCCUCUGCCUUGCCUGACUCCACGCAUAAUGUGAAAAAGUCCGUGACUUGGCUCCAUCCAGCCCACCCUUCCCCCCUUCGCAUCCCACCCACUCCCCUGCGCUCUGUUCUGCUCCACCCGCCUGGGCGAUUCCCACUGCCCCUUCCCUGGGUGGGGGUGGGGAGGCCUCCCCUGGCAGUCUCCAGCUCCCCACAGAGGUGCUGGCCGCCUGGGCUGCCUGGGCCCCUCUCGGCAGGGCGGAGAUGAUGGUUUGUUGUGACGGGGGCAGUGGGCAGCCUGCCCGCUCUAACGCGCCUGUAUCUGGGCGCCAAGCAUGCUGUUUGCACUUGGCUGUGCCUCAGGGUCUGGCCCCGUGCCCAUGAGGGCUGGCCUGCUUUGGCACCCCUGCUUGCGAAGGCCAGUCACGGGCCUCUGCCGGGUUAGGAGCUGGGUGUGGGUUGGGUCCUGGGUGCUGAAGGUGAGGGACAUGGCUGACACCUGGAGCUGGAGUUCAGGACAGAUUCCUGGCUGUGGCUGGGCCCUGGGUGCUGAGUGCUGACAAGGCCCAGGCAGGCGUAGGUGGGGUGCAAACUCUCGGGGGGUCAGGCAGGAGGUCACUCUGGGCGCUUCAGGUUAGUCUGGUCAGUAGGUGGUAUUCACAUCUGUCUGGGAUGAGCUUUUCUCUGGGAUGAUCAGAGAAGUUCAAGGUCACCUCCCAGCAUCAUGGUCUCCGCUCCCCCUUCUUCUGGCCCCUCCCUCAUCAGCGGGGAGGUGGACCAACAGGCAUCACUGGUCCACGAGUGCUGAGGACAGGGAGGCCCAGCAGGAGAUGUGACCUGUCCAAAAUCACACAGCCAGUCUGGAGGAGUCAAGUCUUUGAUUGAACACCUUGCAUACCUUUCUCCCGCUCUGUCCUUCCCCUUGGGACCUCUGCGGACAGUGGCCCCUGGACUCUUUGCUGACAAGGAGGCUUGGAAUUCUGGUUCUGCCACUUACUUCUCUGUGAUCCUGGCAAAGCCUCUCUGAGCCUCAUGUCCCUCAUCUGGGGAAUGGGGAUAAUUAUACCUCCCUCUCAGGGCAGUUAUGAGGAUUAGAUAAUAUAACUGGCCUCCUGGCUGUUUCCAGAACAUUCCAAGGAUACUCAUGCCUCCAGGGCUUUAUAGCUGCUCUUCCCUGCACUCAGAGAGCUCUUCUUCUGUACAUGCACCAGCUUCUUUCGCACUGCAGUGCCACCUUCCCUGACCAGCCUGUGCAAAAUAGCAACCUCCACCCAGCCACUCCCGGUCCCCCUCACCCUGCUAUAUUCUUCUUUUUAGUACUUCCACUGUUUAACAAGUACCAGUUUAUGACCGGCCUGGCUCCAAGUAGAAUGUCAGCCCCGUGAGGGCAGGGAACUCCGUGGCGAGGCCCCUACUCACAGGACAGUUACUGGUUAUCUUCCCUUCCCCUUCUCAACACAUCUCAGUACCUGAUGGCGACUGUUUAUUGAGCCCUUGCUGUGCACCAAGCCCUGUGCUAAUGCAACUCACACUGGAGCUCAGUGAAUGUUAUAGAGUGCCCGUCAUGGCCUUGUCAUGUCCGUAUCAAAGAGAGGGGGCAUGGAGUUCCCGUUGUGGCGCAAUGGGUAACGAAUCUGACUAGGAAUCAUGAGGUUGCGGGUUCGAUCCCUGGCCUUGCUCAGUGGUUAAGGAUCCGGUGUUGUAGUGAGCUGUGGUGUAGGUUGCAGACGUAGCUUGGAUCCUGCGUUGCUGUGGCUCUGGCAUAGGCCAGUGGCUACGGAUCCGAUUGGACCCCUAGCCUGGGAAUCUCCAUAUGCCUCGGGAGUGGCCCUAGAAAAGACAAAAAGACAAAAAAAAAAAAAAAAAAA
rnacentral:lncRNA from 1 species